ensembl:snoRNA small nucleolar RNA ACA64
ACAAUCUGAAAAUUAUCUUUGGUAUUUGUUGCCUUGGAUAAGAUAAUUGUGCAGACAACAAUAAGGUACGUUUUGCUUAUCGCCAACGCUAUGUUGUUGUGCAAUAAAACCAAUGUACCAACACUG